GGUCAAGUUACUUACGCUUGUGAUGGAUGACUUGGUCUUGAUAGGCGAUGAAGGACGUGGCAAGCUGCGAAAAGCUGGGGUUAGUCGCAAACUGACUUUGACCCCCAGAUGUCCGAAUGGGAAAACCCUCUGCGGGUAAUGCCGCAGAAUUUGCGUCUGAAAUUUAAAAUAGGAUGCAAAAGCCACACCGGGAGAAGUGAAACAUCUCAGUACCCCGAGGAAAAGAAAAAGACAUUUAUUUCCCAAGUAGCGGCGAGCGAACGGGAAGAAGCCCAAACCUUAUUUACGUGAUAGCCCGCGUGCGUUGUAGAUAGGGGGUUAUAGGUUCUCACCUGACGGAAUGCGGAUCCGUCGGAAAGUUAUAAACCUUACUUGUAGUUGAAUGCCAUGGAAAUGGCAACCAAAGAAGGUGAUAGUCCUGUAUAUUAAACAAGUAGGGCUUUCUGGGUGGGAUACCUAAUUACUAUGGGACACGUGAAACCCCAUAGGAACUCGGCCAGACCAUUGGCCAAGGCUAAAUACUCAUCAAGGACCGAUAGUGAAAAAGUACCGUGAGGGAAAGUUGAAAAGAACCCCUGUAAGGGGAGUGAAAUAGUACCUGAAAUCACAAGCUUACAAAGCGGUGGGAGCGCUAUGACGUGUCUUCGGAUGCGUAAUGCGUGACCGCGUGCCUUUUGGAUAAUGAACCUGCGAGUUAUUUUGUUCAGCGAGGUUAAUUUCGUGAUUAAUCGUCACGAUUGAAGCCGUAGCGAAAGCGAGUCUGAAUAGGGCGAUUAAGUUGGACAAAUUAGACCCGAAACUGAGUGAUCUACCCAUGGCCAGCGCGAAGCGGCCUUAACCGGUCGUGGAGGUGCGAACCCGUCUGCGUUGAAAAGCGUUGGGAUGAGCUGUGGGUCGGAGCGAAAGACUAAUCAAACUCAGAAAUUGCUGGUUCUCCUCGAAAUUACUUUAGGGUAAGCCUUGCAAAUUAGACAUUGGGGGUAGAGCACUAAAUGGGCUAGGGGCCCCACCAGGUUCCCAAACCCAAUUAAACUCCUAAUACCAGUGUUGCAAUUGCAGGAGAUAGACUGUGGGGGAUAAGCUUCAUAGUCAAAAGGGAAACAGCCCAGACCACCAAAUAAGGUCUCUAAUGUAAGCUAAGUUGAAAAGGAUGUGAAGUCGCUUUGACAACCGGGAUGUUGGCUCAGAGGCAGCCAUCAUUUAAAGAGUGCGUAACAGCUCACCGGUCAAUGUGAUUUCGCGCCUAUAAUAAUCGAGGAUAAGCUUACAACCGAAUUUGUGGAUUCGUUUUGCCUUCGGGCGAAGCGAGUGGUAGAGGAGCAUUCUGCGCUAGGUUGAAGGGGUACCGUAAGGAGCCCUGGACGAUGCAGAAGAGUUUAUGCAGGUAUAAGUAGCGAAAAUCCCGAUGAAAAAACGGGACGUCGAAAAUCCAAGGUUUCCUGGGGAAGGUUAAUCCGCCCAGGGUUAGUCGAUCCUAAGCUGAGGCCGAAAGGCGUAGGCGAUGGAAGAAUCUGUUAAUAUUCAGAUACUACCUAUUUUGUGCUAUCAACCAAAGAGUGACGCAGGAAGCUAAGCCAGCGGCCGGUUGGAAGUGGCCGUCGGGACUUUUAUGGCCCGGAGAAAUCCGGGAGAGAGGGGUCUUAGGGAGCCCAAGCUACGGCAAGGGUAAACUGGCCUACAGCUAGGCUGCCAAGAAAAACCUUUUUGGCGAAUGGAAUAGGUAAUCGUACCGUAAACCGACACAGGUGGACACCCAGAAUAUGGGAAGACGCUCGAUAGAACCCUCGUUAAGGAACUAGGCAAAAUAGCCCCGUAACUUCGGAAGAAGGGGUGCCUUAAAUUGUGAAGUGAACAACGGAGCAAUUUAGGGUCUCAGUAAAGUGGCUCUUGUGACUGUUUAGCAAAAACACAUCUCUCUGCAAAGUCGUAAAGACGACGUAUAGGGAGUGACACCUGCCCGGUGCUGGAAGGUUAAGGGUAAAGGUUAUCUUCAGCAAUGGAGAGAAGCUUUGAACCGAAGCCCCAGUAAACGGCGGCCGUAACUAUAACGGUCCUAAGGUAGCGAAAUUCCUUGUCGGGUAAGUUCCGACCCGCACG
rnacentral:rRNA from 1 species